ACUCCUACGGGAGGCAGCAGUGGGAAUAUUGCACAAUGGGAAAGCCAUCGAUGCAGCCAUGCCGCGUGUGUGAAGAAGGCCUUCGGGUUGUAAAGACACUUUCAGUAGGGAGGAAGGUAGUGUAGUUAACACCUGCACUAUUUGACGUUACCUACAGAAGAAGCACCGGCUAACUCCGUGCCAGCAGCCGCGGUAAUACGGAGGGUGCGAGCGUUAAUCGGAAUUACUGGGCGUAAAGCGCAUGCAGGCGGCCUGUUAAGUCAGAUGUGAAAG
rnacentral:rRNA from 1 species